rnacentral:tRNA from 1 species
GACCCUGUCGUCUAGAGGCCUAGGACAUCACCCUUUCACGGUGAGUACCAGGGUUCGAAUCGCCGUAGGGUUG